AACUCCGGGCCGCCGGCCCCGCGGCGCCGCGCUGGCUGUCAUGGCGCAGAAGGACGCGGGGAGCCGCAGCCGGAAGUGACGUUCGCCCCGCGCCCUGCGCCACCACCAAUCUGUCCCUGAGCCGGCGCGGGCGCCCGAAAUCAAAGCGGAGUCUAUCGGCAUCCCCCGGCGUAAGGUUCGUGCUUGGUGUCUCUACUUUUCCUAGAGUUUCAGCGUGUGAGGCGUCGUGUUUCCUCCGAAGGGCUGCGAGUCAUGGGGUUUGGUUUAACUAAUGCCAUUUACUGUUGCGCUUUCAACAUUCAUUAUUUGUCGCUCAGAUUCCUCCCAGCUGUGUAUUUACCAGCCACCUGCUUUCGUAAACCUCUGUGCCUUUGCACAGCCUGUUCUUUUUGAAUGAGCUUCUCCACCAUGGUAAACUCAUUUUCACUGUAGCUCAAAUGAGUGUGGUACCAGGGCAAGGAGAGAGAGUGUAGAAACAUUCUAGUAUAGAUAACACAGUGUUCACAAAUCAUGGGAAAAAAGGACUAAUCAAUAAAUUGUGGUGCGAGGUAGUUACCUAUUCGGGAGGAAAAACAGACACUUUCAGUUGUUUGCACACCGUGCAACAACAAAAACACCCAGGUGAAUCAAAGAGUUGUAAUUUAAACAAGCUAAAAACAAAUACUAGCUUCUGGAUGGGGAGGGUUUACUUUUUUUUAAAAAUUAAAUUAAACUUUACUUAUACCGAAGUAAUGUUCACGUAGUUUCAAGUGGUACAAAAACUGCAACAGGAACAAUCUUACCCUCUAGUGCUGCUUCCAGUCACAUUUAAUUCUUUGAACUGUUAUUUCUAUUUGUCUACGUAUUUUGAAAUAGUAUGCUUAUUCUGCAUGUUAUAGUAAGUGAAGAUUGAUUAAGCUUUUUUAUGGCGUCUCUCCUUCCAUCCACACACACACCUCGUUCAGUGUAUUGUGCACCACAAAGGUAUUCUAUAAUAUUUUCCCAAAUAAAAUUGGCAGCAUAUAAAAAGGAUAAUGUAUCAUGACUGAGUUAUUCCCAGAAAUACAAGGUUGGCUUAAAAUUUGAAAAAUCAGUCAGUGUAAUUCACCAUAUUCGCAUAUGGAAAAGGAAACAUGUAAUCAUCUUAAUAAGUGCAGAAAAAAUUUGACAAAAUUUAAUACUCAUCCAUGAUUUUUAAAAAAGUUUAAGCAAACUAGAAAUAAAAGAGGAUUUUAACAACCUUAUAUAGGGUAUCUACAAAGACAUACAGCUAACAUCAUAUUUGAUUGUUGUGGGCUGAAUUGUUUCCCCCUCGCCCUCCUCAAAAAAUCCGUGUGUUAAAGUCCUAACCGCUAAUACCUCAGAAUGUGACUGUUUUUGUAGAUAGGGUCUACAGAGAAGUAAUUAACUUAAAAUGAGUUCAUUAGAGUGGGUCCUAAUCCAAUAUGACUGGUGUCCUUAAAGAAGAGGAGAUUAGGACACAGACACAGAGGGAAGAUCAUGUGAAGACAUGGGGAGAAGGCAGGCAUCUGCAAGCCAAGAAGGGAGGCCUGAGAAAAAAACCAACCCGCUGACACCUUGAUGUUAGACUUCUAGACUCCAGCAUUGUGAGAAAAUAGAUUUCUAUUGUUUAAGCCACCUAGUCUGUGGCACUUUGUUAUGGCAGCCCUAGCAAACUAAUACCAUGCUGAAAGACUAAAAUUUGAGAGAAGCAAGGAUAUCCACUCUCAGCACUUUUAGUAAUAAAAUUGCUGGAGGUUCUAUCUAAUGCAACCAAUAAAAUCAAGAAAAAUCAGUAAAAGAUAGUUAAAUUGGAAAGGAAGAAGUAGCUGUCUUUAUUCACAGAUAAUCCUAAGGAAUCCACAAAAAAGCUAUUAGAACAAAUAAGUGAGUUUAGCAAGUUCAUAGGAUUCAAGGUCAAUAUACAAAGUCAGUUAUAUACUAGUAUUGAACAAUCAGAAAUUGAAUUUUAAAACAAUACCAUGAAAAAUGGAAAAUAUAAAAUACUUAGGGAUAAAUUUAGCAAAAGAUGUGCAAGACUUGUACACUGAAAACUAUUAAAUGUUACUGAGGGAAGUUAAAGAAAAUUUAAAUAAAAGGUGGUGAAUACCAUGAUCAUGGAUCAGAAGAUGCUGUAUUGUUAAGAUGUCAGUUCUUUUCAAAUUGAUUUAUAUAGAUUUAAUGAAAUCCCAAUCAAAAUACCAGAAGCAUUUUUUUUCAGUAGAAAUUGACAGACUGAUUCUAAAAUUUAUAUGGAAAUGCAAAGGACUAGAAUAAUCAAAACAAUUUUUAAAAAGAAAAAAUUUGGAGGAUUCUUACCACUUGAUUUCAAGGCUUAGGAUAAAGCCACAGUAAUCAAGACAGUGUGAUAUUGUUAAGAGCAUAAACACGUAGGUCAAUGAAACAGGAUAGAGAAACCAGAAAUAGACCUAUGUAUUUGUGAUUAAUUAAUUUUUGAAAAUUUUACAAAGGCAAUUCAAUGGAGAGGAGAUCGUCUUUUUAAACAAAUGGUGCUGCAACAAUUUGGCAUACAAAUAUAUAUAUAUAUAUAAAAGAGGCUUGAUCUAUAUCUAGCACCGUAUAUAAUAACUCAAAAUGGAUUGUAGACCUAAAUAAAAACAUCUAAAUGUGUAAAUUGUCUAGAAGAAAACAUAAGAGAAAAUCUUUGUGAUCUUGAGUUGGCCAUAUAUUUCUUAGAUAUGACACCAAAGGCAUGGUCCAUAAAAGAAAAAUUGAUAAUUUGGACUUCAUCAAAAUUAAGAACUUACUCUCUUUGACAGAUACUGCUAUGGAAUGAAUGGUAUCCCCUCCGGAAUGAAUGGUAUCCCCUCCAAAAUUUACAUGUUGAAGCCCUAACCCCCGGUGUAUUUGAAGGUGGGCCUUUGAGAGGUAAUUAGAUUUAGAUGAGGUCAUGAAGGUGGGAUCCUCAUGAUGGGAUUAGUGCCUUUAUUAGAAGAAACCAGAGAGCAUGAUCUCUCUCUUUCCAACAUGUGAGGACAUAAUUGAGAAGGUGGCCAUCUGCAUGCCAGGAAGAGGCUCUCAUCAGGAACUGAAUCUGCUGGCACCUUGAUCUUGGACUUUUGGCUUCCAGAACUGGGAGAAAUAAAUGUCCUGUUGUUUAAGCCACUCUGUCUAUGGUAUUUUGUUACAGCAGCCCAAACUGGCUAAGACAGAAACUAUUUAAGAACAUGAAAAGACAAACUACACACUUGGGAGAACAUAUUUGCAAAACACGUUUCUGAUAAAGGACUUGGAUCUAGACUAUGUAAAGAAUCCUCAAAACCCAAUAAUAAAGCAAACAACUCAAUAAAUAAAUGGGUAAAAAGAAUUGAAUAGGCAGUUCGCCAAAAAGAAAUAUUGAUGGCAGAUAAGCACAUGAAAAGAUGCUCAACAUCAUGAGUCAUUAGGAAAAUGAAAAUUUAAGCCACACUGGGGUAUUUCACGUCUAUUAGAAUGAAUACGAAUUUUUUAAAAACCCACAAAAACUGGCAAUACCAAGUGUUGGUGACAAUAUAGACCAGUUAGAACUCUCAUACAUUGUUGGUAGGAAUGCAAAAUGGUACAGCCACUCUGGAAAACAGUUUACUGUUGUGUAUAAUGUUAAGCAUUCACUUAUCAUACAACCUAGCAGUCCUGUUCUUAGAUAUUUGCCCAAGAUAAGUGGAAACUUAUGUUCAUUCAAAGACCUGUAUGCAAAUGUUAUAGUGGCUGUGUUCAUAAUCAUGAAAAAUGAAAAUGACUCAAAUGUUCUUCAACUGGUGAAUGGAUAAAUCAACUGUAGUACAUUCAUACAGUGGAAAACUACUUAGCAAUAAUAAAGGGACAAACUUCUAAUAUACUCAACAACAUAGAUGAAUCUCACUUGCAUUAUGCCAAGUGAGAGAAAGGCUACCUGCUGAAUGAUUCCAUUUAAAUGACAUUCUGGAACAGGCAAAACUAUAGAUACAGAAAACAGGUCAGUGUUUGCCUGGGGCUGAGUGUGUGAGGGGGUUGACUACGACAGGACAGGAGGGAUUUUUUGGGUGAAGAAACUACUCUACCUCUUGAUUGUGGUGGUGGUAACAUGACUGUGUGUUUGUGAAAACUCAUGGAAGUGUACACUAAAAUGGGUGAAUUUUACAAUACGUGUUUAAAACCUCAAUAAAUCUGACUUAAAAAAAGCCAAAAAAGAAAAACGCAAUGUGGACUUGCAGAAAGGAAAAGUCAAGAUGCAAUUCAGCAGUGGAGAGGUGCAAUACCAUGCAGAGCUAAACUGCUCUGCUUAGCAGUGUCAGAAGGUCAUCCUUGUGGGUGGAGUUGUUUCUCUGUAGAUUAUGAUAUUUCCUGGGAAACUAGCCUUAGGCUGGAGCUAGGGGGAGGCAGGUUCCUCUUCUCACUGGUCCUAGGAGGAUUCAGGGAGCCUGAGCUCUGGGGGAUGCUGUUCUUGGUCAUGGGCAUUCCUGUUAAGCAGAGUAAGCUACUUCUAAAAUGUGGUAGGAAGUCGGGGGCCAAAAGGAGUGGGUGGGUAAGGACUGCCUGUGAUAUUCAGGAGGAGUCACAUUUACCAGCCAGUUUAAAGUUUUCCUUUAUUGCACUGUAAUUCCAUUUUACUAUCCUGAAGCCUUCAAUAAACUCUAAUUAUAUGUUUCAGCCUGGUCUUAACUUGCUUUGAAGAGUUGGAAUUGGCCUGGGUCUACGCUCGCAUAAAGGUGGAAAAAGAGAAGAGCGUCGGCCCAGAGAAGCAUGGAGGUCAAGGAGGGUGUCUUUGAUCUCGGUGUCCCCUGUGUUCAGAACAGUGACUUGCACUUAAGUGCCCUAUAAAUGCAUACUUGAAGGAAAACUCCUGGAGUCAGUGUAACAAAAUAGUUUCGAUGUAUUUAAGCAAGCUAGGAAACAAUUUUUCCCCAAAUCUUUAUGCUGUAUGUGAAAAGAUGGCAUGAUAAUACAAAUCACUUGAAAUACAAAUGAUUGUGAAAGGAAAAAGGCACCAAGCCGAUGUUUAUGAAUCCUACAAAAGGAAUGUAAAUUAACCCACUUACUCAAACUAGAGAAUUCACGUCAGAAUUCUCUUCUGUAGGGUUCCCAACUAGUUGAACAGGGUACACCUGUAGUUAUUGCAGCAUCAGAACCUGAAAGAGCUUCACAUUGCCACAUCUCCUUCCUAGUUUAUUGAUUCCCAGCUGAAGGAUAGAGUGCCCAAGCACAGGGGCCCCUCCUCUGCCCAGUUCCAGGACUUUGCCAGGAGACCACCAUUCUCCUGCCUCCCAUCCACACAGAAAUAUUGCACGCUCAGCCUGGAGGAUGUUGGAAUUCCCCCCAAACUGGCUAUUUUGUUCAGCUCCAAUACAUCUUUAUUUUAUUUUAUUUUUUUUAUGAGGAAGAUCAGCCCUGAGCUAACAUCCAUGCUAAUCCUCCUCUUUUUGCUGAGGAAGACCGGCUCUGAGCUAACAUCUGUUGCCAGUCCUCCUUUUUUUUUUCCCCAAAGCCCCAGUAGAUAGUUGUAUGUCAUAGUUGCACAGCCUUCUAGUUGCUGUAUGUGGGACGCGGUCCAGCAUGGCCGGACAAGCGGUGCGUCGGUGCGCGCCUGGGAUCCGAACCCAGGCCGCCAGUAGCGGAGCGCGUGCACUUAACCGCUAAGCCACGGGGCCCGCCCCAAUACAUCUUUAUUUUAAUGACAGGUUUAAUUUAUUUUCCAUACCUCUUUUAUUUAUUUAUUAUGAUUGAGUCAGCUUUUCACCAGAAGGUUAUCUGAUCUUACUUCACAAUUUACACUAAGGCUGAGACUAUUCCUAGGAAUGAAUUAUGAAGUAGGCUCCUCUUUAUUUUCCUAAAAAUUAUCUAACUAAUACAGUUAGAUUAUAAGAUGAAAUGAUACAGUUAAGGUAAUGCUGUCCAAUUCCUCUUUCCUUCACUCAUAACUCCUUCUCAGGAGCCUGAUUUAGAAGAGAGAGCCCAUUAUAGCUGAAUCCAUUCCUUUGCUCACCCUGCCUUGGGCAGCCCCAUGCCAGUUGGAUGUGCUUGGUUCUUAUCCCACACCAAAACUUCUGGUUUGAACUCACUCGGUUUCUUUUUCCUCUUUCCUCCCAGCCUGUCCCUGUGUUUGAUAUUUGAAGCUGUAUAUAACUCAAGAAUCCACCUUGUGGUUUUAUGUGGUAUGGCUCUUAGACUACUCACUCUGUAGGAAGCUGGGCACCAUGUGAAAAAUCUGAUUUCCCUUCAGCUGCCAUGGUGUGUGGAAGCCCAAGCUAGCCACAUAGAGAGGGCACUUAGAGGGAGAGAGAUGCUUGGCCAUCCCCAGCUUUUCCAGCCAUCCCAACUCAGGCAACCAAAUAUGUGAGUGAAGAAGCCAUCUUUGACAUUUCAGCCCAAGCAGACACAAGACAGAGAAGAACUGCAGAAGCCAGCUGACAACCAGAACUGAGGGAUGGGCUACAUCAUGUGAGGGACCCAGUGCUAAAUGGAAGUGCGGGGCCCCGUGUUCAAAAUUGUUCAGAACUUCAAGAUGGCGACAACAGAGAAUUAAAUCAGGCAUGAAGACCUUCUGAGCACAGGGCCCUUUUAUUACUGAGUCAACAUAGGUCUCACACCUGUGAUGCCAGACCUGCUCCAGAUAUAUGGCCUGUUUGAAGCUAUCCUAGUAAUCUCCAGUUUUUUGAGCCACCCUAAUCAUUUUAAAUUGAGAUGAAUUGUCCUUGCUGUGCCCUGUCCAAAUUCCUGAUCCACGAAACUUAACAUAAUAAAAUAGUUGUGGUUUUA